AGGUAGCAAGGCAGCCCCCUCUGAUAACCACGAUGAGGCUCCUCUCCCUUCCCUUUCUGCCCCCAUUGUCGGAGUAUCUGCUGGAGUGAGGUACGGAUGGAGGAGCUGGCUGACUGCAGUGAGGGAAAAGCUCCCUGUGGCCACAAACCCUCCCCAAGCACACACUCCAGGCUGCACACGACUCUGCCUCUUGUUAGCUGGGCAGCCUUGGGCAAGGGGGAGAACUGACUCCAGCCUCAGUUUCUUUCUCUCUACAUGGGGAUCCUCCUCCUUCCUUAGGUUGCCAAGAGGAUGAAAGUCACAAGUGGGCGUGGCAGGGCUUUGUUCCUUCUGAAGCUCAGGACAAAGCACUGGGCUUCCCUCCUGCCUGGGAGCCUUCAGGACGGCAUGGAGUUUGGCCACGUGGUGGGAGCGCCCUGAGUGCGUGGCACAGAAUGUUCAACUGGUUACCUCUCCUGAGCCUCACAGCCUCUCAAGGAAGAUCUGAGGAGGAAACUGAGGCCCACCCCCACCCAGACUGAGGGGCAGGACUCACUGCAAGUGGCCUCGGACUCAUCGGAGCCAUCAGGACACUCCUCCUCGCCGUCACACUUCCACCGUUCGUGGAUGCAGUGGCCGUUGUCACAGGUGAAGUCACUGUCUGCACAGGUCUUCUUGGCUGCAGGGCAAGGAAGA
rnacentral:lncRNA from 10 species